GGCUGCCUCCCGUGCGGUGGGUCCGUGUGAACCGGGUCAGGCGGGAGACCGAGCAGCCCUAAGCAUUAGUUCCCAGGUGCGCGUGGAGGUAGCCUUC
rnacentral:SRP_RNA from 1 species